UCUCUAGCUGUGGAUGUGGGGUGGCAGGCACCAAGACUCUGUUUUCCUUACUAUGCUGUUGUCCAGGGUCCCAGACUCUCACAGGAGUCCAAUCUCUAAUUUCCAGGGAGCUCUAAUGACCACUCACCUCGGAACACAAUUAUGCAUCUUUAGCUUUUCUUUCUGGAAGAGCUGAGUGAUGAGCACCUCUGUCCAGCUAUCAGCCAGGAGGCUAUCUCUGCAACCUUUAGAGGAGGCUCAUUUCUGUGGGUGCCCAGGCGUGUGGAACUCAAGGACUCUGGGGAAGGAAAGCAUAUUCUGAAGAGAACUUCAACUGUGAUGAAACUGCAGACACAGCAGAGAUAAGAACACGGACCCCAUGAUCCUUAACAGAAAGUUUCCAAUUGAGGAAAUCGAGCUGCCUUAGAUAGAAGACAUCCAGGGACAGGGAAACUUCCCAUGGCAGACUACCCUCAAGAUGAAGGCAAAUCUCUGUUGGGGGAUGCUCCCCUGGGAUCAGAAGUCAUCACCCUGUAGGAACCAGACUGCUUCCCUAAAGUGGAGAGGUAACAACUUCUUUGGACCACCUUGCAAAACCAGAAUUGAGACACUAGUCAACCAGGCCACACCUUGAUCAGAACUGUUUCAUUAUGCACAUAUAUCUCCUGCCCUCUGCCUCAAUUCUUUCUCCAUUUAAACCUAAAGUUAAUGCUUCCCUGAAGAUGAACUUGGGGACAUUAGGCCUCUUUUCCCAAUAUGGUGACUGAGUCCCCUUUCUCUGUUUUA